AAGACCCACCGACCGGUAGUUCACUUCCAGAUUCUGAAGAGACGGGGGCAGACAUCACUGGAGGUAUUGGUUAACCAGUUUGUCCUUACCCAAGGUAUUCUAGAAGGUUUUCCAGGCCUGGUACGAUCCAGUGACGGUUGUGUGUGUAAGGAGAUGCAGGAACAAAAUGGGAUAUUCUAAGGCUAGCCCAAAGAUCCCGUCAGUGAAGGUGAAACGUUGCAAGAAAUGGUGAAGAAAAGAAAAAAAACUCAUCCACGUGGCUGAGGUGAGGGCAGCGGCCCCUCCCAGCGCCCCACGCCUCUAACAAUGCGUGCCCUCCUGUGAUGGGGACGUGAGCAGUGGAAGAGCCCCAGAUUCUCCCAAACGCGAAUAGGCGGGGCGUCUCACCAUGGUCACCUUGUACCUGACAGUGGCACAAUUUCUCCACAUACCUCGACUUCAUUACUUACUCCGCUGGGUGCUGAAGGUAAAGAGCUACGCGAGUUUGCUUGAAGUCAGACCCCACGAAACGAGCUGGGGAAGGGUGUGCGUGGUAACCUAGGGCCCCCAUGAUUUAUUGUAGAAGAGGACCGAUGAUAAGGUUCCGGAAGAAAGGGGUCGAUGAAGAGAGAACAGGUGUAGAGGUCUCUAUUGAAUGUGCUGAUCCCCCCCCCCGCAAUGCUGGGAAGGAUGUGUACACACCUGUAAUGAGCAACCUAAUCUUAAUACAACUCAUUUUAAGAGGGAAA